rnacentral:sRNA from 1 species
AAAUUGGGAAACUCAUCAAAAUAUAAAGAAAUGCCGAGACAAGCUUACCCGUUAAUGGCGGGCCCCACGUCGCAAGGCGUUGACCUCAGGGUCGCAGGCGGAUUACAAAAAUUGGUAGGCCCUCAAAUCCUGUCGUUCGGAGUUUCGUCACAUUC